GUACACUCCUGCGGGAGGCAGCAGUGGGGAAUAUUGGACAAUGGGCGCAAGCCUGAUCCAGCCAUGCCGCGUGAGUGAUGAAGGCCCUAGGGUUGUAAAGCUCUUUCACCGGUGAAGAUAAUGACGGUAACCGGAGAAGAAGCCCCGGCUAACUUCGUGCCAGCAGCCGCGGUAAUACGAAGGGGGCUAGCGUUGUUCGGAUUUACUGGGCGUAAAGCGCACGUAGGCGGACUAUUAAGUCAGGGGUGAAAUCCCGGGGCUCAACCCCGGAACUGCCUUUGAUACUGGUAGUCUUGAGUUCGAGAGAGGUGAGUGGAAUUCCGAGUGUAGAGGUGAAAUUCGUAGAUAUUCGGAGGAACACCAGUGGCGAAGGCGGCUCACUGGCUCGAUACUGACGCUGAGGUGCGAAAGCGUGGGGAGCAAACAGGAUUAGAAACCCCAGUAGUCCCA
rnacentral:rRNA from 1 species